AAAUUCUUCACUUAGGCGAUCAAGUCAUCCGAGUCAUACUAAACCAAUCUCUUAGAAGACAUCGACACGUUUGUUGCGUCCUACACGUUAUCGUGUAUAAGUUAAUACCAAAUUUUAAAUUCUUACUUUCUAGUCAAAUUUCUUAAAUCUCAUACAGUCACAUAGGCAAGUAGAAUAAAACUCUAAUGCUUUACAAGAAAUGAAUAAAAUCUCGUUUUUCGGCGUAACACUUCAUAUUCCGUUACAAAUUAGUUUU